AUGCUCUCAGCCACAGGCCUCAUCCUUCCUGGGGAACCUGUUGCAGGCGAGGGGGUGGAGCAGAGCUUCAGCACCCUUGCCUCAAUUUGGGAUGUCCCUGGAGGGUCAUCAGCGCCCCCGGGCAUCCUGGGGGAGGGGCACAGUCCCUCAGUCCGGCUCCUGGGUUCUCCAGUGUGCUUCCGGUGCAAAUCUCUCCGAAUUUGUUUCCUGAGAGACCAACGGGAGACCAGGAAUUCUCAAGUAGAUCAUGCCUUCAGAUGGUUAUCAAGAGGCCCUAGAACAAGGGGCUCGGAGUUUGGAGGACUCUCAGAAGGCUUGAUUGCUACAGCAGAUUGCACGUGGACAAUCUCCGCACCUGGAGCUGCAGCUAUGUGGGCCCCUCGGCAAGUGUGCCAGAACUCCUACAUUUUCUAUGUUCUGCUUCUGGAAAAGAGCGUAACUAUAGACACUGUUACCAAAGACACCAACACCACAGAACUAUAGGAAAGUCCAGUGAAUAGACCUCAACAGUUGUCUGGCAUUGGACAUGAUUCUGGCUUCCCGAAGGGGCACCUGGGCAGGGUUCAGAAGUAACCACUGUGCCUGAGCUCCCAUAAAUGUCUUUGCCCGCCCCCCCAGAAAUAUCCAGUGCGAACCAGGAAAUCCAUCAGGUUGCCACUGUCAUCUCCAUUCUGCCACGAAGGAUGCUUCAAGCCCAACAUCUCAGAGGCGGCUCAACUACUCCCCUCAAGCUUCAAAUUCUGGUUUUACUGCCUCAUUUAACCCUUGAUGGUUAUUCUUUUUAGUAUAUUCCUAAGUAUGCCUCUUAUGACACCCCUGAUUUUGAAGACCCUCCAACACCUGUCGGUCUGGGGCCCGCCCAGCCGAUGGUAACAGUGGGUCCUUCAGAGCCAGUGAGAACAUGGAAGGCAGCCCACCCCUGCGGCCCAACCAACACCAACCUCAGGAUGACUGUUACUCCGACCCCACGGCGUUCACACACUGUACCUAAGAAACCAUGGGGGUGACGACCAGGCGAUCACAGAUGCCCACUCCCCCCUCUCCUUUGCUUCACCCAACUGUAGGCAGGUUUUCCUCGGCCCACAGCCCAUAUUUUGGCUUGCACCGAGCUUAAACAAGCGCCUAGGGGAGCACUGCCCCCCUCACCAGUCCAGUCUGAGAACCUGCUGACCUGCUGACCAGGAGGCAACGCUGCGGCUGGGCCACCUGAUUCUGCACCUGCUCCCACCAGCUCCGUCCCUGCCCAGUCCCUGCUGGUCCGCCAGCCUCGGCCUGUAAAAGAAGAGCCUGUUCUGACGGGUGACUGACACCUGCCACUUCUCAGACCGGAACCCCACGGCUUUGCCCUACCAGGACGCCUCAGAGCCCAGCCCCGCUGUGGCUGGCGCUGCCUGUGGCGGGGGGUGGGGGGGGAAGGGGGGGGCGCGAGGCCGCGGCUCUCCCAGGCCCUGGCGCCCCCUUGCCCCUGCCUCCC
rnacentral:lncRNA from 12 species